UAUUUUGACUAUACGAAGGUAUUGAAAUAAGAUUUUAAAUGAGUGCUAAGAGAAUGAUUAAACAAUUAAAAGCUUUCUUUAAUUGAAUAAUUGAAUUUAAUUUUUUAGUGCAAAAGCAAAAAUAAAAAUUAGGGACAAGAAGACCCUAUGAAUUUUUUAUUAAAUUUUAUAAAACUUUAUGUAAAAUUUAAUUUAAUUGGGGUGAUGGAAAAAGAAUAAAUAUCUUUUUUUUUAAAAAAAAAUUGGUUCCGUUUUUAGCGAUUAAAUGAAAAAAAUA
rnacentral:rRNA from 1 species